UUGUAAUAUUUUAUUUUCACGUGAUGUCAGCGUGGAGAAUUGAGCGACCUGAGGGCGAUCGAGCUGGACGUGGGUCCAAAGGGUUUGAUUUGAAAAAGGAAACGAUCUAAAGAUUGACUGUAAUUUCUGGAAAGAAAAUCUUUGUUGGGAGUGUCACCAAACGAGAGGCGAUUAGGGCAAAACCGAGCGCUUGCUGUUCCUAUCCUUCUCGAUCCGAUCCUGCAAUGAAGAAGCGAAAGGGAGUGGCAGAUGCAGCACCAAUGGGCGGAUACGUCGCCUCUGGAAGCAGCGACUCCUACGAUGUGUUGCUGAGUUUCAUGGGAGACGACACUGUCCUUACGAUGGCCGAGCACCUGUACCGUGACUUGGUUGAGGCUGGAAUCCGCGUCUUCAGAGACUACAAUGAACUUGGAGGCGGUGAUGAAAUUGACGGGGAGCUUCUGAGAGCGAUCGACGGGGCCAAAAUCUACAUCCCCAUCUUCUCCAGAAACUACGCUUCCAGCGUGUGGUGUCUCAAGGAGCUUGCGGCUAUGGUGGAGAGGAUGGUGAAAUCGGGUGGUGGGAAAACGAUCCUCCCCAUAUUCUACGACGUUGAGUCUCGUGAUGUUAGGCUUGAAACCCCUCUGUACCGCGAUGACCUAGUGAAGCACGAGGAGAGAAUCGGGUCUGAAGAAGUAGAAGCGUGGGAAAAUGCUCUUAAAGAGGUUGGUUCAUUCUCUGGAUGGGAGACGGGAGAUGGCAGCUACUUCCACCUCAUCCAAGAAACCAUUGAAGAAGUCAAGAUCAAGCUGAAGGAAAAGGGAAUUGACAAACAAGUGGAGGACAUGAUGGACUUACUUGAUUUAGAAGUCAGUGAUGUACGGAUAGUCGGAAUAUGGGGGGAGGAUGGGGUUGGCAAGACGACUCUUGCCAAUGCCAUUUAUGAAAAGAUUUCCUCUCAGUUCCACAGAUGUAGUUUCCUUGCAGAUAUUGGGGCAACAGCGAAACAACGUGGAGGUGUUCAGCUUUUGCAAAGCAAGUUGAUAUCUGAUAUCCUAAACCGAGAAUACGAGGUUGAUCAAGUUGCGAAAGGAGUUGAUUUCUUUAAAGGAAUAUUACGGAAGUUGAAAGUCCUAAUUGUUCUUGAUGAUGUUGAGGUACGGUCGCAUCUCCACGAAAUUGUUGGAGAGAAGCUUGAUUGGUUCGGUUAUGGAUCUAGGAUAAUUGUCACCACCACUAGUAUCGAAUCUGUUCUUCCAAAAUUUAUAUCUCGAGGGUUGGUUCGUGUUUAUGGUAUCAAGUUGAUGGGUAAUGAUGAAGCUCUUGAGCUUUUCAGAAAGCAUGCACUGCGAGAACUUCUUUCAGUUCCAGAUUUUGAUGAAAUUGCAAGAGGUAUAAUCAACUCUGUGAAUGAGAUUCCAUUACUUAUCAAAGUAAUCGGUUCACACUUAUCCAGAAAAGUAGUAGAAGAAUGGACUGCAUUUAAGGAGCUAAUUUUGCAACCUGGCCUGGAUAUUAAAAAGCUUUUUAUGAUUAGUUAUGAAGAAUUGAGCAAGGAGCAAAGAGAGAUAUUUCUUGAUAUUGCGUGCCUCCCUGCUGAUGUGGAUGGUCGAAUUGCUUCAUUUAUGUGGCAUAAUCUCAAUUUUCUCCCCUCUGAUGGAGUUGAUGCCCUCCAUGCUAUGUCCCUGGUAAAAAUUGGAAAAGAGAACGAACUGGGGAUGCCCAGGCUGUUAAGGGAGUUUGGCCAAUACAUCAUACAAAACGAGGAUAAACUAGAUCCAGGAAUGCGAGGCAGGUUAUGCAAUUUGGAAUUGGCCCGGAAUAAGGAUGAGGGGACAGACCACCUCAAAUUUGACGCGGGAGAUUUUAAGAGCAUGCCAAACAUAAGAUUUCUUAUCUUGGAUUUUGCGAAAGUUGUUGGUGAUUUUGCUAAUGUUUUUCCAAAUUUGAAGUGGCUCCAAUGGCAAGGAUGCACCAGAGAUUUUGAAGCUACUAAUUUUCAUGUUGAGAAAUUAGUCAUUCUUGAUCUUUCACGGAGCAGAGUCACUGAAGACUGGGGAGGUUGGCAAAAAAUCAAGAUGCCACAGUUGAAAGCCUUGAAUCUUACUGGUUGUGCUGGCCUAUUGAUGAGCCCCGACUUGUCCUCUUUCCCGGACUUGGAGAUAUUGAUUCUCGAACGGUGUUCUCGAUUAAUGAAGUUAGAUCCUUCCAUCUGUCAUUUAAAAUGCUUAACUACCUUAAAUUUGAGGUUCUGCGAUGAACUCAAUAUGUUGCCAUUUGAACUGGGUAACAUGAAAACUCUUAAGGAGGUUCUUAUUGAUGGGACUUUGGUACAAAAAAUUCCUGUGUCAAUGGGUUACAUGAAGAAACUUGAGAUUUUUAGUGCAUCCAACUGUUUCCAAUUAAGACACCUGCCUGGCUCAGUCUGCGGCUUAACAGCUCUUUCGGUACUCUCACUGGAAAAUGCAAAAAUUACUCGAGUCCCUGCCUCUGUUGAAAACCUGGUGAAACUCCAGAUCCUGUCUCUAAAGGAUUGUCGGUGGAUAGGAAAUCUUCCGCAUUCAAUUUGCAAUUUGAGAAACUCAUUAAAGGAGUUGGAUAUAACGGGGACAGGCAUAUCUGAAUUGUCCAAUUCAAUUACUUGCUUGAGGCGUUUAAAAGUGUUAAAAAUGGAUUCUUGCUUCAUUAGAGAAUUGCCUGGAGAAAUUGGAGAUUUGGUCGACCUUGAAGAGUUACAUGCUUCUCAUUGUAGGAGUUUGAAGGGAGCCAUUCCAUCUGCUAUUGGGUGUCUAUCUCGUCUGAGGAUACUGAGAUUGGGGCAUUCCAGUAUUUCUGACUUUUCUUCGAAAAUUGGAAGUCUUUCUUGUCUUCAGACUCUCGAUUUACUUCAGUGCAACGAGAUUCGAGAACUGCCAGAGCUUAUUUCCAGUUUAACUUGUCUACAUGCGAGUUCUGAAAGGAUGGAGGCCUUGCCAGAUCUUAGGUAUUUAGUGAAGUUGGAGGAGAUAUGUCUGGGUGAUAAAGAUCCUAAGGAACUCAGACGUUCCUCAACACGGAUGGAGCCAACAUUUAGAUCGAGAGAUCUCUUAGCAGUGCCCAUAGUACUUCCAAAACUGAAGAUAUUAGAGUUGUCCCAUUCUCGAAUCGGUGAACUGCAACUUCGGCAUGGUUCCCUCUCAUGUAAACAUCUUAAGAAGCUGGUUCUAUCUGGUGCGAAUCUUAAAAAGGUGCCAGAACUUCCCUCGUCAUUGUCCGUUUUAUCCAUUCGACAUUGUUUGUCUUUAAGACAAUUGCCAGCAGUGCACCAUUUGAGCAAACUAUCAGAACUAAAUCUCAUCCAAUCCGCGGUAGAAGAGAUUAAGGGGCUUCAGGGACUAAUUGCUCUGGAAAUCUUGAAUAUAACACAUUGCGAAAUACGUAAUCUCAAUGGGCUUAGCCAAUUAAUGGAGUUACGAAGUUUUAUUUUGUCAGACUGUGAUUUGCUCCAUGGAUUGCCCGAUAUAUCAAACUUGAAGAUGCUGAAUGUCCUAGUAGUCCAAAGAUGCAGGAUGAUCCAUGCUAUUGAAGGCCUUAUGGAGUUAACCUCCUUGGAGGAGCUGCGUGUUAGUGAAUGCGAGGCAGAAAGCACACAGCAAGUACAGGAUGCAUUAAAGCUCGUGAUGGAAGGUUCAAUAAACAGUUGAUGUCCUGUGCUCCUGGAGUGGACAUUCGGUUAUUUACAUGGCUCUUCGGACACAAUCGAAACCAUAGGGUGACAUCAUUGGAGUCCCUUGUGACAUUGAGUAGGCAAACUGACGGCAAAAUUACUAGAGCUGCAAUCUGAAAGUUUUUUGAGUCCUUUGUCUAUCAGAAGUGGAAGCUAGUGCCAUAAACAAUUGCCCUUGCACAACCUCACUGGUCAUUGGAGGGCGGCUUUCGUGUCGUGAAUGCUGAAUUUUCGUUGAGAGCUGUGUAGGGGGAGAGUCGGUUCGUUUGCUGUUGCCACUAUCUUCAUUGAAUUGGAUAACCAGUUUUUUGGGCCUUUCCUUAUGAUAUGUUGAUUUUCUUUUGUGUUGUUUCACAGCAUGUUGUCCGUUAAUUGCUUUGCCAAGGCGGCUAGCCAUCUGGCUUUAGCUUCAAUAUAUGUGGCUUUCGUGAUUAUAUUCAUCUCAGAAGUUCAGAAGUACUUUUAGUUUGCAAUGUUUAUACUUGUUUAUUAACCUAGUCUGAAUAGUUUGGCUAAUGUCCUCUGUUUUGAUGAUGUGUAAUUUGGAAAGCAAUGUCGUUUAUCUAAGAAUUUGAUGUAGUUUUUUCAGUCUAUGGACAUGCUCGAAGUUCUCUAUCUUGCUUUCUCUUGCCCUUUGUUUUUUCAGUAAUACCCCAUGACUUGAUGUUGGCAGUUCUGUUGGUUUCCAGAUUGGACUGCUUCUUGUUUUAGGUAGAGUAAUUGGACGGACAAUUUUUACAGUUGUUGACAUCGUUUGCCUGUCGCUCGCAAAAUUGACAGAACAAUUUGACCUGGGGUGUCAAAUGUCUCAUGAUCCUUUUCUCUUUUUCUUUGGUGGAAAACACCUAUAUGGUAGAAGUCAAGUUUGUCUUUGCCAUUCUAGUGAUUCAAGUAGCAUGUACUCCGAGGGAUUUUUCUUUAUGUAACAUGCGAAGAGAUAUUACUCUUAUUGAAAAAUAAAAGAACAUUUGUUCUAUAUUUUUAUCUUCAAUUUGAAAUUUCCAAACUGGGAAGGGUUUGAUAUCUGAAGAGCGUCCAUCGUGGUAUUGACUCAGUCUUCUCACUUAUGGCAGGUGAAUGAUCCUCCAGUCAGAAACUCACAAGAAGCUUUCAUGAUGGAGAUGCGCGCAGCAAGAAUGGUUCAAGCGGCUGAGUCACUGCUGAAAUCGGUAUCGGAGCUGAAACAGACUGCCAUAUUUCGGGAUUCGCAUCUCUGAAUGACUAUGUUGAACAGAGAAUCGUCGAGUUAAACCAGCAAGCUGAAAAAUCAGAUUGUACGUUGUCUAGAAUUGCGGAGGAGGCAGCUGCCAGUCUCAAAGAGCUCAAAUCUCAUUAGUACUCUGUGUCGCAGAGGACGACUCAUCUCACAGAAUCUUAGUGGAAGAUGGCUGUGAUUUUGUGUAUUGAUUUUGGGGGAUUAUCGUGACUUGUUACUUAUCUUGAAGCUAACAAAAGCUAUGUACGCUAACGGAGAUUCUAGGGUAUUCUUUAAUUUCAGCAGGGUGAUUGGGAGGCUUGCACUCGCGGUUCGAGAGCUAUGUGAUGGAAUGAAUUUGAUAUUCUAAAUAGGGAGUAUUGAGGAGAUAUUUGACUUUGGAAUUCAUCCAAAAUACUUGUCAAUGACUACUGAGUGCAAAUCUCUCUUAGCAAAGAGAUUAGCUACUUGGACUUCCAAGUCCUUACGUUUCUCUCCUGUACUUCUAUUUCUACGAAUUUGCAGCCGAUGGCUGAAUGAGAUGGAAAGCUUUUGCA